CGGUGGAGUAUGUGGUUUAAGUUCGAUGCAACGCGAAGAACCUUACCUGGUCUUGACAUCCCGGAGACCCUUAGGAACUAGGGGGUGCUUCCAUCUGGAAGAAUCUGGAGACAGGUGCUGCAUGGCUGUCGUCAGCUCGUGUCGUGAGAUGUUGGGUUAAGUCCCAUAACGAGCGCAACCCCUACCUUAGUUGCCAUCAGGUUAAGCUGGGGACUCUAAAGGAACUGCCUACGCAAGUAGUGAGGAAGGCGGGGAUGACGUCAAAUCAGCACGGCCCUUACGUCCAGGGCUACACACGUGCUACAAUGGCCGAUACAGAGGGCAGCUACCUGGUGACAGGAUGCAAAUCUCCAAAGUCGGUCUCAGUUCGGAUCGGAGUCUGCAACCCGACUCCGUGAAGUUGGAUUCGCUAGUAAUCGCGCAUCAGCCAUGGCGCGGUGAAUACGUUCCCGGGCCUU
rnacentral:rRNA from 1 species